CCUACGGGCGGCUGCAGUGGGGAAUAUUGGACAAUGGGCGAAAGCCUGAUCCAGCCAUGCCGCGUGUGUGAAGAAGGCCUUCGGGUUGUAAAGCACUUUCAGUGGGGAAGAAAGCCUUGGGGCUAAUACCCUCGAGGAAGGACAUCACCCACAGAAGAAGCACCGGCUAACUCCGUGCCAAGCAGCCGCGGUAAUACGGAGGGUGCGAGCGUUAAUCGGAAUUACUGGGCGUAAAGCGCGCGUAGGCGGUCUGAUAAGCCGGUUGUGAAAGCCCCGGGCUCAACCUGGGAACGGCAUCCGGAACUGUCAGGCUAGAGUGCAGGAGAGGAAGGUAGAAUUCCCGGUGUAGCGGUGAAAUGCGUAGAGAUCGGGAGGAAUACCAGUGGCGAAGGCGGCCUUCUGGACUGACACUGACGCUGAGGUGCGAAAGCGUGGGUAGCAAACAGGAUUAGAUACCCGAGUAGUC
rnacentral:rRNA from 1 species